CAGCAGCCACGGUAAUACGUAGGGUGCAAGCGUUAAUCGGAAUUACUGGGCGUAAAGCGUGCGCAGGCGGUUUGUUAAGACAGAUGUGAAAUCCCCGGGCUCAACCUGGGAACUGCAUUUGUGACUGGCAAGCUAGAGUGUGGCAGAGGGGGGUGGAAUUCCGCGUGUAGCAGUGAAAUGCGUAGAUAUGCGGAGGAACACCGAUGGCGAAGGCAGCCCCCUGGGCCAACACUGACGCUCAUGCACGAAAGCGUGGGGAGCAAACCGGAUUAGAUACCCCUGUAGUCCCUGUCUCUUAUAC
rnacentral:rRNA from 1 species